rnacentral:rRNA from 1 species
AGUGAACGCUGGCGGUAGGCCUAACACAUGCAAGUCGAACGGCAGCACAGUAAGAGCUUGCUCUUACGGGUGGCGAGUGGAGGACGGGUGAGGAAUACAUCGGAAUCUACUUUUUCGUGGGGGAUAACGUAGGGAAACUUACGCUAAUACCGCAUACGACCUACGGGUGAAAGCAGGGGAUCUUCGGACCUUGCGCGAUUGAAUGAGCCGAGGUCGGAUUAGCUAGUUGGCGGGGUAAAGGCCAACCAAGGCGACGAUCCGUAGCUGGUCUGAGAGGAUGAUCAGCCACACUGGAACUGAGACACGGUCCAGACUCCUACGGGAGGCAGCAGUGGGGAAUAUUGGACAAUGGGCGCAAGCCUGAUCCAGACAUACCGCGUGGGUGAAGAAGGCCUUCGGGUUGUAAAGCCCUUUUGUUGGGAAAGAAAAGCAGCAGGUUAAUACCCCGCUGUUCUGACGGUACCCAAAGAAUAAGCACCGGCUAACUUCGUG